rnacentral:rRNA from 1 species
AUUAGAUACCCUGGUAGUCCGCACGGUAAACGAUGGAUGCCCGCCGUUGUUUAUUUUUAUUCAGUGGCCAAGCGAAAGCGUUAAGCAUCCCACCUGGGGAGUACGCCGGCAACGGUGAAACUCAAAGGAAUUGACGGGGGCCCGCACAAGCGGAGGAACAUGUGGUUUAAUUCGGUGAUACGCGAGGAACCUUACCCGGGCUUGAAUUGCAACCGAAUAUGGCGGAAACGCUAUAGCUAGCAAUAGCGGUUGUGAAGGUGCUGCAUGGUUGUCGUCAGCUCGUGCCGUGAGGUGUCGGCUUAAGUGCCAUAACGAGCGCAACCCUUCUCCCCAGUUGCCAUCGGGUAAUGCCGGGCCCUCUGGGGACACUGCCAUCGUAAGAUGCGAGGAAGGCGGGGAUGACGUCAAAUCAGCACGGCCCUUACGUCCGGGGCGACACACGUGUUACAAUGGCAGGUACAGCGGGAAGCCACCUGGCGACAGGGAGCGGAACCCGAAAGCCUGUCUCAGUUCGGAUUGGAGUCUGCAACCCGACUCCAUGAAGCUGGAUUCGCUAGUAAUCGCGCAUCAGCCACGGCGCGGUGAAUACGUUCCCGGGCCUUGUACACACCGCCCGUCAAGCCAUGGGAGCCGGGGGUGCCUGAAGUGCGCUGCCGCAAGGAGCGCCCUAGGGUAAAACCGGUGACUGGGGCUAAGUCGUAACAAGGUAAC